AUGAGAAGAGAGAUAGAAGAUAGAGAGAGAUAGUGCAUUAGAGAUAGAGAGAGAGAUGAAGAAGGAAGCUGAUAUAUGAAACACUGACAGACGGACGACAUUGUACGGUGGUGGAUGUUGCGUGUGUAAUAUUAUUAUUAGCAUCAUCUCACGUUGUAAUGAUAAUAUUGUCGUAAAGUAGCCGUGUGCUGGAGUUCCAUCCUCAUCGCCAACAUAACCAGCCAGGCCAACUUAUGAAUUUGGCUUCGAUGGUCGUCACCUAAAAAAGGCAACCAAACAAACACACUCGAUUGAUAUUUACAGACCUCAUGUCACCCUUGGCCAAAUUUUGGAUCCUCGCUCCGAUCAAGAUUUUUGAAAAUCCUGUCGGUGAUCCCUUCAUGACUUUGUGUUGGUCACCUGUUGAUGUCCAGCUGAAGAAUUGUAAAACAUCUUCCUGCUAAUAUUGUGAUAUUAGGUUAUCAACCUCUGCAGGUUAAUGACCUCUUCAUAUUAAUGAGCUUCCAAGGCCAAUGGUCUUCAGAAAAUGAUGGCCUCCCAACAGUGGUGACCUUUUGACUUUCUCCAGACAACAACUUUACGUUUUAUUUGUGGGUUUCUUCUCAACAGAUUGAACUGAACUCAUGAACCAGUGCCCACUCACACACAAAGAUAUGUAUAUAUACACACAGCAGUAUGCAUAUAUAUUAAGUAAAGUUAUAACCUGUAACCAGACACAAAUUUAAAGGUCACUCCAAAGCGGGUUUUUUUUUUUUACUUUUGUAACUUUUUUAUUCAAAGCUAGUGGGAGACACACUUCUUCAGUUUUCAUCAACUCCCUCCAUUUACUGAUACUAAUUUUAUAAAUCUCCAAUCACAGGCAUGCAGACAAUCCACAGCCAACUGCAUAAUAUAUACAUAUCCAUGAUCACUAGUUUGUUAAUCUAGAUCUUUCUCUUGUAGUAUUUGACUUCAACGAGACCAAAGGACUUCCACAUAAAAACCAACUGCCAGUUUCUAAAACCCUCCUUCAACACUUGAGUUUGUAUUUUAUCUGACACAAAUGCUGGACAUUAUGUUGGCAAGAUCGAGACCACAACAAUCAGCCUAAACUAUUCCUGCUUCAGCUUUGUUAUACUUAAUUGCUUGUACGUCUACCUCAGCCCCUACUUGAACUUAACCCCUUCUGCUUCUCCCUGUACACCUACUGCCAAAAUUUUCCUUCUUUUAUUUACCUUCAGCAUCUAAUCCAGCCAUAUCCAGCCAAAAUAUUCUGUUCAAAGCAACCAGAUCAGGCCUCUCACAACUACCCUACAAUGUCAAUCUAAAAACAAUCACAUCAUGUAAAUCUUGAGGCUAUGAGAUAAUUCACGAUUAAUUUAAAACAAUG